AACCCCCAAACACAGAAGUGGGACGUCAUCUUUACCUCCAGCGAUAGAGGGCAGUGUUGCCAUUGAUGGCUUAUAAAAGUUAACAAGGAAGUGCAGUGGCGCUGUUUGUGAAUGUUCGCGCACUUUAUAUGCACUUAUACACGUUAUAAGCCUCUGGCUGGUGUGCGAAAGGAGCAUACAUAUAUUAAAUUGCAUGUUUUAAGGCUUUCUCCUACCUCUCAGCUCCUGGCUGAUAAAGGGCACAAGGAGCCAGGAGUUGCAAGGAACCUACGUGUUGCCAUGCUGUGGGUGCAGUCCAAUGAAAAACAUGUGACUGCACCGCAGUUUCUAGCUAUGGAUGUGCAGGACUUCCAGAAAGCUGUUGACAAACUUAAAACAGAAUGAUGACCUGGAUGACCUCGGUCCCUUUCUUUUUGUGUUUCAGUACAAAGAAGAUAUGGAACACUUUCUUAAAAACUGUGUUGACACCUCUGGGUCAACACUAUAUGUUUAUUGCCUUAGAGAUGAGUCACAGUGCCCAUCACUAGUCUUCAUUUAAAGUUAUUUUUAUUAAUUAUUCUAUUAUUGUAAUAAAAUAGUUCAAAGUAGACUGAGCCAGUUUUGUUUGUUGGUUUCCUAAGUUUAUUAUGUGGUUGUAAUGAGCAAUCACAUAUUGUUAUACGUUUUAUUCUUAUUUUUUGAAUUCCACUCUUUUUUUAGACACUACAUUUUUUUGCAGAAAAGCAUCUCUAGUUAUUUAUGCAAUUGUUUAUAUUUAUAUGUUUAUAUAAUAAUAAAGCUGAUACUUUUCCAACCCUA